UAUAUACAGACUAUAGCACGAGCAAAAAAUAUCCCAAAAUAUUUCAGGGAAAAUCAGACUGAAAUGGAAAAACAACGAGUGACCUUGGAAGAGGGGCUGUUACUGGUCAGGCAAGGAAUGUUCCACAGGGGAGAAGAGCAAUCAGAAGCAGGACAUGACUGUUUAUUUGUUAUAGAGGAAGAAACAUCAGUGAGAGAGGACUUGAGGGAUGCUCCCAUGGAAGACUGACAUCACAUUAUAUGUGGACGGGAGUGCAUCCAUUGGACUGGAGGUUUUCUUAGAAAUUCUCCACUCUAUUACGAAUCAAGGCCAAUUAAUUAUCAAGAUUGAUGGAUGGGAAUUGCGCCCAUGAAAACUCGGGAGGUGAAGAAUAAUCAGAGAGAAACCAUGGAGCUACGCUCACGAAAACUCGGGAAGCUCAAUGAAAUUCUGCGAAGCUACGUCAACAUCUUCUUGUUAGAACAUUUGUUAAAGUAUAGCAGUCCUCUUUGUUUUCUGGGGUUAUCAUUUAUCAUGAGGGUUAUCAAGAAUGAUAAAACGGGGGAAUGUUAUUACUGGCCAAAUUAAAGACACCAUAAAAUGGAGGAUCCCUGCACUUGUCAGAAUUGCUUUACCCUUGUCAGCUAAAAUUUACAUGUCUGGAUGGCGCCAGCCAAUCUAGGCUCAGUGGUAUGCAGGAUGGUGAGGGGUGCAGAUGUUCUCCUUGUUUCUCCUAAAUUGAUAAAAUGUAUAGCAGUUUUGCAAAUCAACCCUAAAUGCAUCAUUUUGAUUUGGAUCGCUGCAAGGGCAUUGUAAAUAGUAUAAAUAAUUUUGUGAGACGGUCAUCCUGUUGUUUGAUGAUUGGUUAACUGUUGAGCCUUGGAGAAACUGUUUGAAUCUCAGGGCACGUGUUUCAAAGUUUAUUCUUGUUUGCUUCCUUCUAGAACUUUCUUUCAAAUACAUAGUAUUAGUCACUGUAUUAUUGGGUUAGGGAAAUGUCUAUCAUAUACUGUAUUAAUCAAUAUCUGUUAUUGGACUGUAUAGAGACCACCCCCAUGUGGUUCGGCCCAUCAAGUUUCGGGGAUCUAUAAAAGGUAGCUCCCUGUGUUCCACUUCUGGAAGAAUGCUUGGGACUGUGUGACCUUUUGGAGUGUCUCUGCUUGCACGAGGCUAGAAGGGCUUGGCCAAGCAGAUACAAGGUUCAAACCCGCGGUGGUUAGGUAUAGUAGUGGGGAACUGUUAUUGUGCUUUUCCAAAAUAAAAUUUAGAUGCGCAACUGCUAGACUCAGUGUCUUAUUGACUGAAACUAGACUGGGGGAAGCUUAGAACCAGCUAUUUACAGAGCCUGUUAUGGUGUUUGGGAGAAAAGGACAGCAGGGACCAAGGUGUAAAGCGAAGGAUGCCAAUUGGACUUGCUGAUUUCCAAAAGCGAGAGUCUGAUAAAUGAGGACAGAAGCUAAUGUUCAAGACAGUCUGACUAUAAUUUUAUACAAUCGAGAGUGGAUAUAUGGACACUGGGAGAGGGGAAUUUGUGGAAAAUGAUGACGUUGACCAGCAUAGCGAGAAACUAUAGAGUACAGUUGGAGUCUUUGAAGUUAUAAUUUAAGGUUUUGCUUUGAUUUAUUUUAGUGCAAUAGCAGAAACCCAAUCAGAGAGAUUCUGACAAGCAGUUUCUGGAAAGAUGAAUGGUGAUAACAAGAGGAAAAUGUGGAUGUGUGUGUAUUUUGAGGAGUAGUUAAGUGACUUUAGAUGAGAUUGGUCCAAUAGUUAUUUGGAUAGGGGAAUGAAACAGGGAGAGGGAGAGUGAGAGGGAGAGAGAGAGAGAGGAAGAGAUUGGAUAGUGAGUAAUUUACUUGGAAAACUUCUAUCAGUAGCAGAAGAGGGUUCUGUUACAUCUAAUACUUGGGACAUGGGAAGAAGUACAUCUGACCUCCAACUAUCAUGAAAAUGGACACAGCACUUAUCCAGUGGGAAGGAUGGAUUCACUGUAGGAAUGGGGCUGUUUGAUUUCCAAUAGGAUUGGAAAAUACCCAAACCAUUGGGUCAACAAAGUGACACAGCAAGUAGUUCUACAGCCUCACUGUUCCAGCAAUCCAUGGUAAUCCUGGCUAUGUUCAAUUUGUUCCCACGCAUUUUCAACCUGAGAAUCAGUCCCAUUCCCUGCUGUUUUCAUACCAUGCAAUUGUGCGGUACACAGAAAAUUAGCUUCAUGAGUCUCAUUGGCAACUUGAAUGUAGAUAGCAUAUGAGGGACUAGUGGAAAUGAACUAGUGGAGCUGGAUGCAAAUUUAAGUCUGAGAGAUGUCAGAGUUAUAGAUGGGGGAGCUAAUGGUAAAAGAGAUGUGGCUGGGGUACAUAGAACAAUGAAUGGUCAAAGUCCUUAUAAGAGGAUCCUGCAUUCCUUUACACUUUUAUGUGUAGAAUAUGAUGCACAGAAACAGGCCAACUGGCCCUAUAGUGCUUCCGUUGUACGUGAGGCCGCUCCAAUUCAAUUCCCCUCACCCUUUCACUAUUUCCUUUUAUGGUUUAUCCUUUACAUGUAUUCAUCUAGCUUCUGCUGUGUCGGAGAUGAUGAAGGAUUUGGGAGGAGUGGUUAGGGGUGGGCAGAAUGUGGAACGGAGUUUGGAAGAGCCAAUUACCAUUAGGGAACAGAAGCUGGACACUUUCACACUUCCUCAGGACCACCUGGAUAUGCGGAUGCUUUUUGGCAGAGAAAACUAUGGUGGAAUUAUGUUCAGUGUGUUCCUGUCAGAUCUAGUAAUGGAUAGUUAAGUAGUGCGUCAGCUGAAGUUUGCUUUCCUUAACAAAUAAGGUACUAGGCUCCAUUAGCAGUGGCUGGACUGCAGGGUUAUGGGCUUGUUCUGGUUGGAGUAUUCAUCAUCCUCAACAUUUUCAUGGAGGGCACAAAAAUACUUCAAAAUAUCAAGAGUUUAAAUGGUGGGGAAGAUUAAUGUUCUCACUAGAUUAGCUUCUGGAUUGGAGAGCAGGACUGAAACAAAAUAAAUCUUUCUUGUUUUAAGGUAUGAUCAUCAAUUUAAAAUGUUUAUCAAGCACGAUAGAUGAAGAGUCAAUUACUCAAUGCUGUUGGAACUUGGUAUUGUUUGACACAGGGAAUGAUUGAAACAGAGACUUUUUCCUUUUUUAGGAAUGUGGAAAAUAAAUAUGCAGAGCUGUGGUUAGGUCAAUGGCACUCAGAAGAUCAUCAUCUGUUAUUAACUAUAUACCAAAGUUAUUGCAAAGGUAUGCUGAUGGCUUCUCCAAUUUCAUCCAUCCACCAGUUUGGCCUUAUAAUGUAAACCUGACUACCUUUCCCAUUCCAUCAAAUGCUCCAAAGUAUACGAGUUUCUAAUUGGGCUUAGGGCCCUCAUGUGACAUCAGCUUUAUCUAACCCUGAGUGGUUUAUUGCAUCUCGUAAUAGUCGAUUAAGAUUUUGUCAAAUUUUCUCAAGCACCACUUCAAGAAGUGGGGUGAAGUACACACCCCAUGCAGUACCUAUCAAUGGUGCUAAAGUGGACAUGGAUAAAAUAUCCAAAUUCCUGUGUAAAUAUCAUGAACAAUUUGUCCCAGUCCCACAAAACUGAUGCUAUGACCAAGAAAGCACACCAUCGCCUCCACCUCCUAGGAAGGCUAAGGAAAUGGUAUGUCUCCAAUGAUUCUUACAACUUUUUACAGAUGCACAAUGGAAAGUAUUUAGUUACGUAGCUUGGUACGUCAACUGCUUUAUCCCCAAAACUGAGAACUGAUGGCUAUAUGAAUGUAGCUGCUCUUGAACUUUGUGGUGAAGGGUUUCAGGCUUUUGUACUUCCUGUCAAACAACAACAGCAAGUAGACGGCGUGGCUGGGAUGGUGGAGUUCCUUGAUGAUAGACGCUGCCUUCUUGAGACAGCACUUCAUGUAAAUGCUGUCAAUGGACGAGGGGAUGGGGGUGGGGGUGGUGCCCAUAAUUAAUCAGGCUGAGUCCAUCACACUCUGCAGGCUCUCCUGUGUGUUGGAAUUGCUGUACAAGAUUAUGAUGUAACCAGUCAAGAUAAGUUCUACAGUACAUCUGUUGAAGUCUAUUAGAGAAUUUGAUGGCAUGCUGAAUCUCUUUACAGUUCUCAGAACAAUUUAAGAACAGCUUCUCCCCCAUUGUUGUCAGACUCUUAAACACAUGCUAAUGAUGAAUUCCAGAUCUUUCAAUCUACCUCAUUGUGGCUCAUUCAUUUUUUUAUCUGCUCUUUCUCUGUAGCUGUAACACUAUAUUCUGUACUUUGUUUCUUUUCUCUUUUGAGCUAUUUGAUGUAUGCUUGUAUGUUAUGACUCAUCAGGAUAGCAUUCUGAACUAAUUUUUUUACUGAAUCCUGAUUACAAUGAUAAACCAAUGCCACAAUAAAAAUCCUUUCUCGUGUUUUGUUGUAAGGACCAGCAUUUACUCCAAUACAACACCAUGGGGAAAUCUGGCUCCUAUAUUUUCUAUUUUCACUGUUGUAUGCAGAAGGCAUCACCAGGCAAUUUUAAACAGGUGUUGUGUAUCCUGCACACUCAGUUAGGUGUUUCCUUCAGGAGCAGCUUAUCUCAUAAGGUUCAGAUAGUAUCUUGUGACUUGGACCUUGUAUUUCCCAGUUAAUAUUUAACAACAAUAUGCUUUAAGGCUCUUUAUGGGCUGGCACAAAUACAUGGAGUAUUUCCAUUCUCACUGGCCAUCCCAUCCAGGAUUUGUGGAUGAAUAGAAGAAUUGUGCAUGGAAACAGGCCCUUUAAUCAAUUCAAUGUGAAUUUCACACAGACAGUAUUAGAGAUCAGGAUUGAACCUAAAUCACUGGAAUACAGAGGCAAUAGCACUACUAGCCUGCCACUUAGUUGGCCCAAUGGCUGGGAUCAAUUCCAUGAGUUCCCAGUGGAUACCAGACAUCCCCAAGCCCACAGUAAAUCCAUCAGACUCACCAAAAUCCAUGCUAGUGAUAGCUAAACAAAUCCUGUGGUCUCUUAGUGGGUGUUGGGGGAAAGUCGGAUGCUCUUCUCCCCACUUCCUAUGGUUUAGAUGCAACUGAGCUCAGUUCUGGGCUGCCAAGACAAGGAUAUGUCUGUCUGAUGUGGGACUGGAGUCGCAAAUAAGCCAAUUCAGAUCUGGAUAGCAGGUUUUCUUCCUUAAACGACAUAGAAAUCUGAUCGGUCUGUGCCAUCCAUACUCACUGUCCACAUCAAAGUGGUCAACUCAUAUGGCACUGCCCAGCAUCUGAUUCUGGGCCCUCGCGCGCUGGUAGUUGCAGCGUUUCUUCUAAUUUACUGGCAAAGCAAGCAUUUAUUGCCUGUUGCGUAUGACCUCAUCGGGGGAACUGCCCAUGUGAAUCUGGAGUCACAUACAGUCAUUCCAGUAAGUCACUAAGAUGCAGUGAGGACUUGGGGAAUUCAACCUGGUAGACUUAGUGUGGAGCAGUAGGGACUGAAUAACAAUCAACUAGGGUUGAAGUCACUGAUAAUCCUGCUUUUUAUUUUAGUUCCUAUGUUUAAUUUAGCAACUAAACCCAAAUAUUAUCAAUCUCAGAAUCAUUGGAAGAUUCUACGCAGGGCAUGUCUUACGAGAAAGAGCUUACCAGAUAGGCAAUAUUGGGGGAGAGAAAUGUCCUUGGUCUACAAGACUAAACAUACACUCUGUUGACAUCAAUGGAACUAAAUAUUGAAAACAGAAUGCAACAUGCAGCUAUUAUUAAAUUGUGUGUUUAGUGCUAUGUACAAAUUUACGUGCUAAGUACAAAUUUUUCGGCACACUGUUUUUGGGUUCCAUA